UGAUAUCGCUGGCGAUCUGACUGAGACAUCUGUCACCCCAUUGAUCGCCAGAGUUGAUUCGGCUGAUCUGAUUGGCUAGGCGGGUGAUCCCUUCCUUCCUCACUGCUCCAUGUGUGUCUCGCCUGAAGCUGCUAGCUCGGUUGAAGAGGAUAGCCUUCCCUGAAUGGAGACAGACUGGUCUUCGGUCGAGGGUAUAGGAGUAGCUGCGCUCCCCUGCUAGAACCUCCAAACAAGCUCAAUUUUCAAAGUAGAUAAAUUUUUAUAAAAUAAAUUCUAUCGCCUAACCCAUUAUUUUUAAUGCAUGUGCUACUGG
rnacentral:snRNA from 1 species